GAAACAAGUGAGUGCUGACAGCGUGGAGGGAGAGAGAGCGAGAGAGCAAGAGAAGAUCACGGCAGCCACCACAUUGGCCUUAAAAUUCAAAAUGCAGCCGAUAUACUUUCUUAUUGCCAUUAAUUUUUUUUUUAUGAUAAUGAUCUAUGGAGGAUGUGACGAGGAUGAACGAAAUUAAACAGCGGUCCCACCAGACAAGUUAUGAAUAGUACCAUGGAUCUGGACAAUGCAGAUGUGCUGAAGUACCUUGGAAAGGAUGAAGCGGUCGUUGUUGGGGUUGCGAGGGUCUUCAGGUCGGUACUUCAUGGUAUGAAAGAAGACCACAGACAUGAUCUCUGCAACACUGCAACAUGAUGUUGGGUGACUGAAACAAAUGAACCAGACAUAAGAUUAGGUGAUAGUUUGGUCUAAUGUUUAGACCACAGUUAAAGUUUGUCAACGCGACAAAGAACAACAGACAAAAAAAAAAAAAAAAAAUCAGUGGUUGAUUGUUUCUGUGCAUAUACUGGGUUAUUUCAUGCCAAAAAUGUAGACAGAGUUUUAAGAGAGGCUUCCCUCUCAUGGGCACACAGUGGAUAUUGUCAUUUUCCUGCAUGCACACUCUUUCGAUAUUAUAUUUUGCAGGUUAUUGCUCUUUCCAUUUCCACUCUACAUGCCAGAAAUACCUCACUGCGGCCUUCCUCCAUCAAGGCUUAACCUGUCCUGAAAGGGAAAGUGUGAUCAAAUGAGGGGAGCCACAACCUUAAAAAUACUCUGAGAUGGAUGAAAUGAAAAUAAAAGACAGGAAACGUUUUGGAAACCCAACAUGUAUUGAACCUUUCACAAUACAGUAGCUGGUGAUUUAUUAACACUCCAGUGGGGGAUUUUAUUUUGAAAGUCUAACUGGAUUUAGUUGUUCCAUUUAAUCCUGUGCAUUUAACCCAACAGCGACUGAAGCGUGCUCGCGGGCGCGGCUUAAAUCGGGACGCGCGUGAGAGCUCCAUUUGGCCUUUGACUGUGCAACACGUACCGCCGCUGAGUACAUUGGACCGCCAACUGCACCGAACCGGACUUGGCUCCUCCUUUUUCUCCUCCUCCUCCAUAUAUAACCCAACACGGAAGCAGUUCGGACUACUCUUGGCUGUAUCUAAUCGCAUUCAUCUUCAUUUUAAUGUUUGUAUUUUAAUCAAUGAUUGUAGAGCAAAAAACAUGACGCGUCAUUUUUUCUCCUUUGACGGACCACCGACGGAGUAAAACAAUGAUUAAAAUCUUUCGAUUCCCUUCCAACAUUAAUCAAAAAUAUGGUAAAUAUGGUGCAUCUGUCAUACAGUAAUAAACAUCCAUUUUCACUUUCAGGAAAGAAGACAUUUCUUCUACUCAUGCAUAAAGUAUUUCACAGAACCCGAAACGAAUAAUCAGAACGGUUGAAUACUUAGUUUACUAAACCAUAAAUCUUAAUCUUUCAGAAUUAAUGUAUUGCCAGAAGAUGCUCAGAAAUACGAUACAGCAUGAUGCGUUUACUUCCCUUGCAGGCAGGUACAGUACAAUAUAUGAGCAACCAUUUUGUGCACUCAUUUUUUAAAUUUUGAGUACGAAUCCUUAUUUCACGGAAGAUAAAACGUUUAAUUAAAAACUUGCACGACAACACAAGUGAAUUUUAAACCACAAUUUGCAUGGAUCACGCGUGCAUACAAAUUCAAUGAAUUCCCACAACAGUACAAUACGUAUAGUACAUUCUGUUCAUGAUCCAUUAAACCACCAAGCAAAGUACAGUACAUCGUUGUCGACUAUUUUCUGCACGUCUCGAGACAAUUCUGCUGCACGUAUUUUAUAUCAAGGUGGAAUCCAGUCCGCUCUUACCCGCUGCCCGCCGCAGUGGUCGCCUUGAUGGAGUUGAUCCGUAGCCUAUUGGCGAGGUUCCUGAGCGCCUGCACCGUCUGCUGGUCUGGUUUGUGGUAGUCUUCCAUGUUGUACCCGUGUACCCAGAUUAAAAUGAGUUAACACCCCCAAAAUGGUUCCGCGUGCGCAAUGAUCGA